ACGCAUAGCCUAACAACUCUCUCUCUCUCUCUCUCUCUCUCUCUCCCCUCCCUCCUCCCAUGGCUGCCUCUGGUUCCAAGCCCCAUCCUCCCUCUAGUUCCAAACCUCCCAAAAACCCCAUAACCCUCAAACCCACAAAUGAAACCCAAACUCCAAACCCUAACCCUUCCACCUCCAAAAGCCCUCCUAUCCCACCCUCCCAAGAAGAAAUCGCUCUCUCAGGCGCCUCCCACCUCACGCGCCCGGAGGUCCUCCGCCGCCGUUCCUACUUCUUAAGGCAGCUCAGAAAAUUCUACCAAUCCAAAUACUGGGCCUUCAUGGAGGAGGUCAAGAAGAAGCACAGGGAGUUCUACUGGAACUUCGGUGUGAGCCCUUUCAAAGAUGAGCACAAGAGCGAUAGAGACGCUGCUGGGAAUGCUGAAGGCACUGAUGAGAACAAUAACAACAUCAACAGCAAUUUCAACAACAAUAAUGGUGGUGCUGCGAUUGCUCGGACCGACGUCGAUGCGAAAAAGAAACUGCAAUGCUCUUAUCAUCAGUGUAAGACGAAGGCCAUGCCGUUGACGAGCUUUUGUCACCUCCAUAUUUUAUCGGAUUCGAAGCAGAAGCUCUAUAAGCCUUGUGGGUUUGUUAUCAAGAGUGCUCAUACAGGACCUCUAACCUGUGGGAAGCCAAUACUGAGAUCCACUGUUCCUUCUCUUUGUACUCAUCACUUCCAAGUGGCUCAGAAGGCUAUCAAAAAGGCCUUGAAGAAGGCAGGCCUUAAUGGGCCAUCAACAAAUAAGCUUGCUCCAAAGUUCCAUGUCAUAGUAGCAGAAUAUGUACGCCAAAUUCAGGCCAAACGAAGAGCUGCACAAAGGGCAAAGGGAAAGAAAGUCGCAAUUAAGGAAGAAACCUCUGACUGAACCUCUCCACUGGCAGCUGCACAGAUGAUUCAUCGAGUAUUGUUGAUUGUGUGAAAUGAUGGAAAACCAGAGUAUGCCUUUUCAGGUAUCAAAUCUGCAUUUUGCAGUAGGAACAAGACUCAGAAUCGGAACGUGCUCAGAAUGAAAUGAUGCAUUUUGCAGUAGGAUAUUUAAAUGUGGAUUUCUUGCUUUCUUUUUUCUUUUCAUUUUUGGGUUAAAUGUACAUGACCAAGAGCUUCAAGACAUUAACAGGGUGAUUUGGAUUACAUAUUGCCUUGGCAAUCAAAGUUUUGCACUUGAUACGUGCCUAGAAUAGCUGGGAAUCCCCUAGUUCUGUACAGUUAAUUCAUAAUGUGAAAAAGGCGUUGUAGAAACCGUGCGUGUGUAGUUGCGUCUUGCUCGUACAUGUAUGUAUAGGUUUGUUUGGCUUGAUUUUUUAUUUGAGCUGGUGUAACGCAGUUAGCAGGCACAAUCUUCGCCCGUGUUCCUUUAAAAUUAUGGUAAUGUUCUUUCUUC